UCGAGGAGGAAGAGCUCCGCAGGCUUGGGGUGCGUGGGGUGUAGACGUCGCGAGCGCUGCGGGGCGGUUGGUGACAGCUCAGAGUCCGUGGUGAACUGCGCGUCCUGACUUCGCCGCCCAGGCGUAGCAGAAGUGCACCGAGCAUCCAGCCCUACUCUGCGGAAAGAGCCGGCGGAGUCCCCAGACUACCAGGACCAGACCCGCAGGGGCCGCUGAGACUUGUAGUCCCUGAGAUCUGGCCCAUCCAUUAGUCAUCACCUUUGGGAAUUGAUCAGGCUGAGAGCCAUUCCAUCAUACAGCAUUCGAGAGCAGUGCUUGAUUUGUUUCAAAUCCAGAAAGUGGAAAUGAGAGAACCAUCAUGAAAAAGAUUUCAAAGAGAAAAGAAGAUAUUUUUAGAAAAGUAAGGUAUUAAUGGAGUUUAUAAGGAUUUUGAUUAUGCAGAAUAGCUCAAUUAUAAAUGUAGGAUAAUCUUGGAAAAAGUUAUAUAUUUGGUUUUAUAUACAAAUCAUACAGUUCAUA